rnacentral:sRNA from 1 species
GACUCGCGACUGGUCGGCGCGGCGAAAGCAGAGCGGCGCGCCGGUUCCUUGGUUCCUGAGGGCGAUGGCGCGGGGUGGCUGGCGCCGGCUACGCCGCCUGUUAUCCGCGGGGCAGCUUCUAUUCCAGGGCCGCGCGCUGCUCGUCACUAACACGCUGGGCUGCGGCGCGCUCAUGGCGGCCGGUGAUGGCGUGCGCCAGUCCUGGGAGAUCCGCGCCCGGCCCGGCCAGGUUUUCGACCCACGGCGCUCCGCGAGCAUGUUUGCGGUGGGCUGCAGCAUGGGUCCCUUCCUGCACUACUGGUACUUGUCGCUGGACCGCCUAUUCCCUGCGUCUGGCCUCCGAGGCUUCCCAAAUGUCCUCAAGAAGGUCCUCGUGGAUCAGCUGGUAGCCUCUCCAUUGCUGGGCGUCUGGUACUUCUUGGGUAAGGAGCCUCCUAAGCCUAGGCUUUGCCUCUCAUAGGUCGGGAGGGGUGGAGCCAGCUUUGUGUUAAGAAGGAUGCAGAGGUGCAUUUCCAAUGUGCCCCCUGUUUGGGUCGCCCUGGACUAGG